rnacentral:rRNA from 1 species
CCAAGCGACUGUUUAUCAAAAACACAGGUCUCUGCUAAACCGUAAGGUGAUGUAUAGGGGCUGACGCCUGCCCGGUGCUGGAAGGUUAAGAGGAGUGGUUAGCUUCUGCGAAGCUACGAAUCGAAGCCACAGUAAACGGCGGCCGUAACUAUAACGGUCCUAAGGUAGCGAAAUUCCUUGUCGGGUAAGAUCUGACCCGCACGAAAGGCGUAACGAGUUGGGCAAUGUCUCAACGAGAGACUAGGAGAACUCAUAGUACCUGUGAAAAUGCAGGUGACCUGCGACAGGACGGAAAGACCCCGUGGAGCUUUACUGU